UACAGAGGGGGCAAGCGUUGUUCGGAAUUACUGGGCGUAAAGGGCGCGUAGGCGGCCGCCUAAGUCAGACGUGAAAUUCCUCGGCUCAACCGGGGAACUGCGUCUGAUACUGGGUGGCUUGAAUCCGGGAGAGGGAUGCGGAAUUCCAGGUGUAGCGGUGAAAUGCGUAGAUAUCUGGAGGAACACCGGUGGCGAAGGCGGCAUCCUGGACCGGCAUUGACGCUGAGGCGCGAAAGCCAGGGGGAGCAAACGGG
rnacentral:rRNA from 1 species